rnacentral:rRNA from 1 species
ACAGCGGAGAGUUUGAUCCUGGCUCAGGAUGAACGCUAGCUGCAGGCUUAACACAUGCAAGUCGAACGGCAUCGG